UACAGAGGUCCCGAGCGUUGUUCGGAUUCACUGGGCGUAAAGGGUGCGUAGGUGGCGUGGUAAGUUUGAUGUGAAAGCUCAGGGCUUAACCCUGAAAUGGCAUUGAAUACUACUGUGCUGGAGGUUUGGAGGGGGGACUGGAAUUCUUGGUGUAGCAGUGAAAUGCGUAGAUAUCAAGAGGAACACCAGUGGCGAAGGCGAGUCCCUGGACAACACCUGACACUGAGGCACGAAAGCUAGGGGAGCAAACAGG
rnacentral:rRNA from 1 species